UACGUAGGUGGCAAGCGUUGUCCGGAUUUACUGGGCGUAAAGAGCGCGCAGGCGGUCGUUCAAGUCGAGUGUGAAAGCCCCCGGCUCAACUGGGGAGGGUCACUCGAUACUGAUCGACUCGAAGGCAGGAGAGGGAAGCGGAAUUCCCGGUGUAGUGGUGAAAUGCGUAGAUAUCGGGAGGAACACCAGUGGCGAAGGCGGCUUCCUGGCCUGUUCUUGACGCUGAGGCGCGAAAGCUAGGGGAGCAAACGGG
rnacentral:rRNA from 1 species